CGGCGUGCCUAAUACAUGCAAGUGGGACGCAAGGGAACACACUGUGCUUGCACACCGUGUUUUCUUGAGUCGCGAACGGGUGAGUAACGCGUAGGUAACCUGCCUAUUAGCGGGGGAUAACUAUUGGAAACGAUAGCUAAUACCGCAUAAUAUUAAUUAUUGCAUGAUAAUUGAUUGAAAGAUGCAAGCGCAUCACUAGUAGAUGGACCUGCGUUGUAUUAGCUAGUUGGUAAGGUAAGAGCUUACCAAGGCGACGAUACAUAGCCGACCUGAGAGGGUGAUCGGCCACACUGGGACUGAGACACGGCCCAGACUCCUACGGGAGGCAGCAGUAGGGAGUCUUCGGCAAUGGACGAAAGUCUGACCGAGCAACGCCGCGUGAGUGAAGAAGGUUUUCGGAUCGUAAAGCUCUGUUGUAAGUCAAGAACGUGUGUGAGAGUGGAAAGUUCACACAGUGACGGUAGCUUACCAGAAAGGGACGGCUAACUACGUGCCAGCAGCCGCGGUAAUACGUAGGUCCCGAGCGUUGUCCGGAUUUAUUGGGCGUAAAGGGAGCGCAGGCGGUCAGGAAAGUCUGGAGUAAAAGGCUAUGGCUCAACCAUAGUGUGCUCUGGAAACUGUCUGACUUGAGUGCAGAAGGGGAGAGUGGAAUUCCAUGUGUAGCGGUGAAAUGCGUAGAUAUAUGGAGGAACACCAGUGGCGAAAGCGGCUCUCUGGUCUGUCACUGACGCUGAGGCUCGAAAGCGUGGGUAGCGAACAGGAUUAGAUACCCUGGUAGUCCACGCCGUAAACGAUGAGUGCUAGGUGUUAGGCCCUUUCCGGGGCUUAGUGCCGGAGCUAACGCAAUAAGCACUCCGCCUGGGGAGUACGACCGCAAGG
rnacentral:rRNA from 1 species